AUUUUAGGGUUCCUGAACCUGAUCCUAUGGGUCGGCGGCUGCUGGUUCGUCUAUAAGGAGACCCCGUUCCAUCGCCCCCCAUCUGCCGGCCCCACAACCGCCCCCGGUGCCAUAUAAACCCCCCCCCCAGCCCCAUAAGUGUGGGGCAGCCCCACUCCGUGACCCCAAAUGGGGGCACCGCUGUCAGCACUGCCUUCUUUUGUAUCCUAUGGGGUGAUUUGGGGUCGCUGUGGGGUGGGGGCUGCUAUGGGGCAGAGAUGCUAUGGGGCAGAGUGGCUAUGGGGUCAGGUUGCUAUGGGGUGAGGGAUGCUAUGGGGUGAGGGCUGUUAUGGGGUCAGGUUGCUAUGGGGUCGGGCUGCUAUGGGGUUGGGUCUGCUAUGGGGUCAGGCUGCUAUGGGGCAGAGCUGCUAUGGGGCAGAGCUAUGGGGUGGGGGCUGCUAUAGGGCAGAGUGGCUUUGGGGUCGGGUUGCUAUGGGGUGGGGGCUGCUAUAGGGCAGAGUGGCUAUGGGGUGAGGCAGUGGGGUGGGGGCUGCUAUGGGGUACAGCUGUUAUGGGGUCAGGCUGCUAUGGGGUGGGGGCUGCUAUAGGGCAGAGCUGCUAUGGGGUAGAGCUGUUAUGGGGUCAGGUUGCUAUGGGGUUGGGGCUGCUAUGGGGCAGAGUGGCUAUGGGGUCGGGUUGCUAUGGGGCAGAGCUGCUAUGGGGUUGGGUCUGCUAUGGGGUGGGGGCUGCUAUGGGGCAGAGUGGCUAUAGGGUCAGGCUGCUAUGGGGUUGGGUCUGCUAUGGGGUGGGGGCUGCUAUAGGGCAGAGCUGCUAUGGGGUAGAGUGGGUAUGGGGUCAGGCUGCUAUGGGGUGGGGGCUGCUAUAGGGCAGAGUGGCUAUGGGGUCAGGUUGCUAUGGGGUGGGGGCUGCUAUGGGGUGGGGGCUGCUAUAGGGCACAGUGGCUAUGGGGCAGAGCUGCUAUGGGGUCAGGUUGCUAUGGGGUGGGGGCUGCUAUGGGGCAGAGUGGCUAUGGGGCAGAGCUGCUAUGGGGUUGGGGCUUCUAUAGGGUGGAGUGGCUAUAGGGUCAGGUUGCUAUGGGGUCAGGUUGCUAUGGGGUUGGGGCUGCUAUAGGGCAGAGUGGCUAUAGGGUCAGGCUGCUAUGGGGUUGGGGCUGCUAUGGGGUCGGGCUGCUAUGGGGUGGGGGCUGCUAUAGGGCAGAGCUGCUAUGGGGUAGAGCUCUUAUGGGGUCAGGCUGCUAUGGGGUCAGGUUGCUAUGGGGUUGGGGGCUGCUAUAGGGCACAGUGGCUAUGGGGCAGAGCUGCUAUGGGGUUGGGUCUGCUAUGGGGUGGGGGCUGCUAUAGGGCAGAGCUGCUAUGGGGUAGAGUGGCUAUGGGGCAGAGCUGCUAUGGGGUCGGGUUGCUAUGGGGUGAGGGAUGCUAUGGGGUAGAAUGAUUAUGGGGUCAGGUUGCUAUGGGGUGGGGGCUGCUAUAGGGCACAGUGGCUAUNGCUAUGGGGUAGAAUGAUUAUGGGGUCAGGUUGCUAUGGGGUGGGGGCUGCUAUAGGGCACAGUGGCUAUAGGGUCAGGCUGCGAUGGGGUUGGGGCUGCUAUAGGGCAGAGCUGUUAUGGGGUAGAGUGGUUAUGGGGCAGAGCUGCUAUGGGGUUGGGGUUGCUAUAGGGCAGAGUGGCUAUAGGGUCAGGUUGCUAUGGGGUUGGGGCUGCUAUGGGGUGGGGGCUGCUAUGGGGUAGAGUUACUAUGGAGAACGGUUGUUAUGGGGUGGGAGAAGCUAUGGGGCGGGGGCUGCUAUGGGGCAGUGAUGUGGCACUGAGGUCGGGUUAUGGGGUUGGGUUGGUGUGUGGGGUUGGGAUUAGGAUUGGGAUUAGGAUUGGGAUUGGGGUCAGGAUUAGGGUCAGGAUUGGGAUUGGGAUUAGGAUUGGGAUUGGAUGCAGAUUGGGAUUGGGGUCGGGAUUAGGGUUAGGAUCAGGAUUGGGUUUGGGAUCCUGAAUUGGAAUUGGGAUUGGGAUCGUGGAUUGGGGUCAGGAUUAGGGUCACGAUUGGGAUCCUGGAUUGGGGUUGGGAUUGAGAUUAGGAUUGGGAUUGGGGUCAGGAUCAGGAUUGGGGUCAAGAUUAGGAUUGGGAUCCUGCAUUAGGAUUGGGAUCAGGAUUUGGGAUUGGGGUCAGGAUUUGGGAUUGGGGUUGGGGUCGGGAUUAGGAUUGGAAUCCUGUAUUGGGAUUAGGAUUGUUAAUAGGAUUGGGAUUGGGGUCAGGAUUAGGAAUGGGAUUGGGAUCCGGGAUUGGUAUUGGGAUUAGGAUUGGGAUUGGGAUUGGGGUCAGGAUCAGGAUUGGGAUUGGAUUAGGAUUGGGAUCCUGCAUUAGGAUUGGGAUCAGGAUUUGGGAUUGGGGUCAGGAUUGGGAUUGGGUUUGGGGUUGGGGUUGGGAUUAAGAUUGGGAUUAGGAUUGGGAUUGGGAUCCUGGAUUGGGGUUGGGAUUGGGAUCGGGAUCAGGAUUAGGACUGGGAGUAGGGUUGGGGUCAGUAUUAGGAUUAGGAUUAGGAUUGGGGUCAGGAUUGGGAUUGGGGUCAGGAUUAGGAUUGGGAUCCUGCAUUAGGAUUGGGAUCAGGAUUUGGGAUUGGGGUCAGGAUUGGGAUUGGGAUCAGGAUUAGGAUUGGGAUUCUGUAUUGGGAUUAGGAUUGGGGUCAAGAUCAAGAUUAGGGUCAGGAUUGGGAUUGAGAUCCUGGAUUGGGAUUGGGAUUGGGGUCAGGAUCAAGAUUAGGAUCAGGAUUGGGAUCCGGGAUUGGGGUUGGGAUUAGGAUUGGGAUCGUGGAUUGGGAUUGAGGUGAGGAUUUGGGAUUGCUAUUAGGAUUGGGAUUGGGGUUAGGGUCAGGAUUGGGAUUGGGAUGGGGAUUAGGGUUGGGAUUGGGAUUAGGAUUAGGGCUGGGGUCGGGAUUGGGAUCCUGAAUUAGGAUCAGAAUUGGGGUCGGGAUUGGGAUCGGGGUCAGGAUUGGGAUUAGGAAUGGGAUUAGGGUUGGGAUUAAGAUCGGGAUCCUGAAUCAGGGUCAGGAUUGGGAUUAGGAUCAAGAUUAGGAUUGGAAUCAGGUUCUGAGUUGGGAUCGGGAUGGGGGUCAGGAUUGGGAUUGGAUUCAGAUUGGGAUUAGGAUUGGGAUUGGGAUUGGGAUUGGGGUCCUGAAUUGGGAUUAGGAUUGGGAUUAGGAUUGGGGUCAGGAUUAGGAUUGGGAUUAGGAUUUGGAUUAGGAUUGGGAUUAGGAUUUGGAUUGGGAUUGGAUUCGGAUUGGGAUUGGGAUUAGGAUUGGGAUUGGGAUUGGGAUUAGGAUUGGGAUUGGGAUUGGGAUUGGGAUUAGGAUUGGGAUUGGGAUUGGGAUUGGGAUUAGGAUUGGGAUUAGGAUUGGGAUUGGGAUUGGGAUUGGGAUUGGGAUUGGGAUUGGGAUUAGGAUUGGGAUUGGGAUUNGGAUUGGGAUUGGGAUUAGGAUUGGGAUUGGGAUUAGGAUUAGGAUUGGGAUUAGGAUUGGGAUUAGGAUUGGGAUUGGGAUUAGGAUUGGGAUUGGGAUUGGGAUGGGAUUGGGAUUGGGAUUGGGAUUGGGCAUUUCCCCUAAUUAACCCCCCCCUAAUUAAGCCCCUAUAACCCCCCAACCCCAUUAAACCCCCCCCCCACAUUUAGGGUGGGUUUAUGGGGUUUGGAUGGGGGGGUUUGGGGUGGGGGGGGUCCUUUUAGGGGGCACUUUUGGGGUCCCCAUUGAGACCCCCCCCCCCAAAUAAGCUCAAUAAAGGAUUAAUGGGACACGGCA
ensembl:lncRNA